UUUAAUAUAUAUUUUUUGGCAUGAUGAUGUUUAUAAAUAAAUACUACCAAGAUCUUUGAAUCCACAUGAUAAGACUUUUUAAUCUGAGAAUACAAAUUAUUAAUAUUAUUUCGGUAAAAUGUUCAGUUUGAAUAAAGUUUCUCAUUUUAAGUUUUACAAUCCCUUACGCCACGCUAUAGUACUCUAUUUGGAUACUAUUGUGCCAAUUUUAUUAUUGAAUUAUAAAGGGCAAAGAAAAUGAGUCCUAUUAGGAAACACAAUGAAAAGUUUCAUAUGUGUGUCGACAUUAUGGACACAGUAUUAUGUUUUAUGCCUAUUUAAUAAUAAUUUAUAUUAUCCUCUAAGAAAUAUUGUUUUUGUGUUAUUAUGUUGUAUGAUGAAUUUAUCGCUCAUAUGAAAGAGUAUGAAAUAAGCAUUAAUGGAAUAUUUUUCCUCUCAUAUCUGAAACACCGACUUACAGUUAUUUAAGUUUUUAAAUUUCAUGGGUUCUGUUAUAAUAAUACAUGAAUGUUGUAUAUUUACUAUUCAUUUUUUUUUU